UACGAGGGGGGCUAGUGUUGUUCGGAAUCACUGGGCGUAAAGGGAGCGUAGGCGGGAGCCUAAGUUGGGUGUUUAAUUCCGGGGCCCAACCCCGGGCAUGCACUCAAAACUGGGUUUCUUGAAUAGGGGAGAGGUCGGUGGAAUUGGAGGUGUAGCGGUGGAAUGCGUAGAGAUCUCCAAGAACACCCGUUGCGAAGGCGGCCGACUGGACCCAUAUUGACGCUGAGGCUCGAAAGCAUGGGGAGCAAACAGG
rnacentral:rRNA from 1 species